rnacentral:lncRNA from 1 species
AUUUGAUCAGUAUGUUAUGUUAAUAGGACCUUUCCACUAUCAUUGUUGAAUUCUUUAAUUCUUAGCCUGGACCAUGGAAUUUAACAAGAUCAUAAAGGAAGGAAAAGCCCAUGGAUAUAAUUUUAAGUUAAUGAAGGCAACUUAUAAUAAAAUACUAAAAGCAAAAAAUAUUAAUAAUUGGAGUAGAGAAGUAGAGCAACCAUAUACAUCCCAACAAGGCCACCCCCAAAACAAACAUGCAUCUAAAUUUUUACAAAUGCCAUCAAUAAUUAGAAGAAUACAUGCCAUAAAUAAGUUAGCAAAAAACCAGGAACUAAAGCUAG